UGCAAGAAGGGUAGGUGCUUGCAU
rnacentral:misc_RNA from 1 species